CUUCCAUCAUGCUUGAAAGACUGCUCAGCCUCAGCCAAAGUUUGUCCUUAAAGAUUCACAUGCAAGGAACUCCAGUGAAGCCAGGAUUGGUUUCAUUUGGUUGCAACUCAACACCUGACUGAUACAGGAACAAGUAGAGCAAAACUUCCCAGAUCACAGUUUUGCUCACAGCUGCAGGUGGAAACGGUGAACCAUCCACAGAUGGGCCUCCUCCUGUUCCAGCCCCUUAAGCCGUGGGGUAUCUCCGAGGAUGGGGAUCUCAAGUAAGCAACACAAGAGGACAGUUUCAACCAGCUCACCCAUAUCAUGAACAAUCAUGAGAAAAAUACUUUAAAACAGACCAAAAAAAAAAUCAAUUUGCUUAGUGUAAUGUGCUCGCUCCAUCAUUCUUUUUUUAAAGAAAUAUGUCCUCACUGGUUGACAGGGACAAAUUCUGCCCCCCUCCCACU